GGUGAGUACGCGUAGGUAUCUGCCUAGUAGUGGGGGACAACUCAGGGAAACCUGAGCUAAUACCGAUACGCCNUACGGGGGAAAGCNGGGNAUCUUCGGACCUCGCGCUAUUAGAUGAGCNUGCGUUGGAUUAGCUUGUUGGUAGGGURACGGCCUACCAAGGCGACGAUCCAUAGCUGGUCUGAGAGGACGAUCAGCNACACUGGGACUGAGACACGGCCNNGRCUCCUACGGGAGGCAGCAGUGGGGAAUAUUGGACAAUGGGGGCAACCCUGAUCCAGCAAUACCGCGUGUGUGAAGAAGGCCUGCGGGUUGUAAAGCACKUUCAAUUGGGAAGAAAAGCUKGAGGUUARUACCCUNGAGUCUUGACGUUACCUUUAGAGGAAGCACCGGCUGACUCNGUGCNANNAGCNNCNGUAAUACGGAGGNUBCAAGCGUUAAUCGGAAUUACUGGGCGUAAAGCGCGCGUAGGUGGUUUGGUAAGUCAGAUGUGAAACCCCUGGGCUCAACCUGGGAAUUGCAUUUGAUACUGCCGCACUAGAGUAUGGUAGAGGGAAGCGGAAUUCCGGGUGUAGCGGUGAAAUGCGUAGAUAUCCGGAGGAACAUCAGUGGCGAAGGCGGCUUCCUGGACCAAUACUGACACUGAGGUGCGAAAGCGUGGGUAGCAAACAGGAUUAGAUACCCUGGUAGUCCACGCCGUAAACGAUGUCAACUAGCCGUUGGACUCAUUAUAAGGGUUUAGUGGNGCAGCUAACGCGAUAAGUUGACNGCNUGGGGAGUACGGCCGCAAGGUUANNACUCAANGGAAUUGNCGGGNNCCNNCACAAGNNNNNAGCAUGUGGUNUAAUUCGAUNNNACGCGAAGANCCUUACAGCNCUUNNNAUCCUNGGAANUUACUAGAGAUAGUUAGGUGCCUUCNGGANUCCAGUGACAGGUGCUGCAUGGCUGUCGUCAGCUCGUGUCGUGAGAUGUUGGGUUAAGUCCCGUAACGAGCGCAACCCUUGUCCCUAGUUGCCAGCACUUCGNGGUGGGAACUCUAGGGAGACUGCCGGUGACAAACCGGAGGAAGGUAGGGAUGACGUCAAGUCAUCAUGNCCUUUAUGGGCUGGGCUACACACGUGCUACAAUGGCCGGUACAGAGGGUCGCCNACCCGUGAGGGGGAGCUAAUCUCAGAAAACCGGUCGUAGUCCGGAUUGCAGUCUGCAACUCGACUGCAUGAAGUCGGAAUCGCUAGUAAUCGCGAAUCAGCAUGUCGCGGUGAAUACGNUCC
rnacentral:rRNA from 1 species